AGAAAAAGAAAAAUUAGGUGUCCGGUUAUUUAGAAAUCAUGUUCAAGGCAUGCAUUUUUAUUAGCAUUUUUUGUUGAAUGUUAUUUUAUUGAUUGUGCACCCGCAUGACCACCAUUUGCAUGUUAGUAGCUUAAGUUAAAAUUAAUCAACAUUGCCUGCAAAAUAUUUUUGAAAUUAAAAUAAAAGGUACCGAAAGGGCGUUAGAUUAAUCUAGCGUAAUCAUGUCCC
rnacentral:lncRNA from 1 species